CUUACCUGGUCUUGACAUCCACGGAAUUCGGCAGAGAUGCCUUAGUGCCUUCGGGAACCGUGAGACAGGUGCUGCAUGGCUGUCGUCAGCUCGUGUUGUGAAAUGUUGGGUUAAGUCCCGCAACGAGCGCAACCCUUAUCCUUUGUUGCCAGCGGUCAGGCCGGGAACUCAAAGGAGACUGCCAGUGAUAAACUGGAGGAAGGUGGGGAUGACGUCAAGUCAUCAUGGCCCUUACGACCAGGGCUACACACGUGCUACAAUGGCGCAUACAAAGAGAAGCGACCUCGCGAGAGCAAGCGGACCUCAUAAAGUGCGUCGUAGUCCGGAUUGGAGUCUGCAACUCGACUCCAUGAAGUCGGAAUCGCUAGUAAUCGUGAUCAGAA
rnacentral:rRNA from 1 species